GUAGGUGGCAAGCGUUGUCCGGAAUUAUUGGGCGUAAAGCGCGCGCAGGCGGUUCUUUAAGUCUGAUGUGAAAGCCCACGGCUCAACCGUGGAGGGUCAUUGGAAACUGGAGAACUUGAGUACAGAAGAGGAAAGCGGAACUCCACGUGUAGCGGUGAAAUGCGUAGAGAUGUGGAGGAACACCAGUGGCGAAGGCGGCUUUCUGGUCUGUAACUGACGCUGAGGCGCGAAAGCGUGGGGAGCAAACAGGAUUAGAUACCCUGGUAGUCCACGCCGUAAACGAUGAGUGCUAAGUGUUAGGGGGGUUUCCGCCCCCCUUAGUGCUGCAGCUAACGCAUUAAGCACUCCGCCCUGGGAGUACGGCCGCAAGGCUG
rnacentral:rRNA from 1 species